AUUGAACGCUGGCGGCAGGCUUAACACAUGCAAGUCGAGCGGGGGAAGGUAGCUUGCUACCGGACCUAGCGGCGGACGGGUGAGUAAUGCUUAGGAAUCUGCCUAUUAGUGGGGGACAACAUCUUGAAAGGGAUGCUAAUACCGCAUACGUCCUACGGGAGAAAGCAGGGGAUCUUCGGACCUUGCGCUAAUAGAUGAGCCUAAGUCGGAUUAGCUAGUUGGGGGGGUAAAGGCCUACCAAGGCGACGAUCUGUAGCGGGUCUGAGAGGAUGAUCCGCCACACUGGGACUGAGACACGGCCCAGACUCCUACGGGAGGUAGCAGUGGGGAAUAUUGGACAAUGGGGGGAACCCUGAUCCAGCCAUGCCGCGUGUGUGAAGAAGGCCUUAUGGUUGUAAAGCACUUUAAGCGAGGAGGAGGCUACUCUAGUUAAUACCUAGGGAUAGUGGACGUUACUCGCAGAAUAAGCACCGGCUAACUCUGUGCCAGCAGCCGCGGUAA
rnacentral:rRNA from 1 species